AUUGAACGCUGGCGGCAGGCCUAACACAUGCAAGUCGAACGAGUGGCGGACGGGUGGGUAAUGUCUGGGAAACUGCCUGAUGGAGGGGGAUAACUACUGGAAACGGUAGCUACUACCGCAUACCAUCGGAUGUGCCCAGAUGGGAUUAGCUAGUAGGUGGGGUAACGGCUCACCUAGGCGACGCUCCCUAGCUGGGCUGAGAGGAUGACCAGCCACACUGGAACUGAGACACGGCCCAGACUCCUACGGGAGGCAGCAGUGGGGAAUAUUGCACAAUGGGCGCAAGCCUGAUGCAGCCAUGCCGCGUGUAUGAAGAAGGCCUUCGGGUUGUAAAGUACUGUCAGCGGAGAGGCGUUACCCGCAGAAGAAGCACCGGCUAACUCCGUGCCAGCAGCCGCGGUAAUUC
rnacentral:rRNA from 1 species